UACGUAGGUGGCAAGCGUUGUCCGGAUUUAUUGGGUUUAAAGGGUGCGUCGGCGGCUUUUUAAGUCUGUGGUGAAAGCCGAUCGCUUAACGAUCGAACUGCCAUUGAUACUGAGAGGCUUGAGUAUAGUUGAGGUAGGCGGAAUUGACAGUGUAGCGGUGAAAUGCAGAGAGAUUGUCAAGAACACCAAUUGCGAAGGCAGCUUACUAAAGUAUAACUGACGCUGAGGCACGAAAGUGCGGGGAGCAAACAGG
rnacentral:rRNA from 1 species